GUGUCAGCAGCCGCGGUAAUACGUAGGGCGCAAGCGUUAUCCGGAAUUAUUGGGCGUAAAGAGCUCGUAGGCGGUUUGUCGCGUCUAUCGUGAAAGUCCGAGGCUCAACUUCGGAUCUGCGGUGGGUACGGGCAGACUAGAGUGAUGUAGGGGAGACUGGAAUUCCUGGUGUAGCGGUGAAAUGCGCAGAUAUCAGGAGGAACACCGAUGGCGAAGGCAGGUCUCUGGGCAUUAACUGACGCUGAGGAGCGAAAGUAUGGGGAGCGAACAGGAUUAGAUACCCUGGUAGUCCAUGCCGUAAACGUUGGGCACUAGAUGUGGGGGACAUUCCACGUUUUCCGCGUCGUAGCUAACGCAUUAAGUGCCCCGCCUGGGGAGUACGGCCGCAAGGCUAAAACUUAAAUGAAUUGACGG
rnacentral:rRNA from 1 species